ACCACUGGAACGGUGGCUAAGACCCGAUAUGCCGAGAGGUGAAAGUAUUUUUAGCCUUGAGGGGAGCUCGCGUCUGAUUAGCUAGUUGGUGGGGUAAGAGCCUACCAAGGCGACGAUCAGUAGCUGGUCUGAGAGGAUGACCAGCCACACUGGGACUGAGACACGGCCCAGACUCCUACGGGAGGCAGCAGUGGGGAAUUUUCCGCAAUGGGCGAAAGCCUGACGGAGCAAUACCGCGUGGGGGAGGAAGGCUCUUGGGUUGUAAACUCCUUUUCUCAGGGAAGAACAAAAUGACGGUACCUGAGGAAUCAGCAUCGGCUAACUCCGUGCCAGCAGCCGCGGUAAUACGGAGGAUGCAAGCGUUAUCCGGAAUCAUUGGGCGUAAAGCGUCCGCAGGUGGCACUUCAAGUCUGCUGUCAAAGGUCGGGGCUUAACUCCGAACAGGCAGUGGAAACUGAAGUGCUCGAGUGCGGUAGGGGCAGAGGGAAUUCCUGGUGUAGCGGUGAAAUGCGUAGAGAUCAGGAAGAACACCGGUGGCGAAAGCGCUCUGCUAGGCCGCAACUGACACUCAGGGACGAAAGCUAGGGGAGCGAAUGGGAUUAGAUACCCCCA
rnacentral:rRNA from 1 species